UAUGCUAAUAAUGUGCAAUUUUUUCCAUCAGAUAUAAAAAGCGCCAAUAUAGCCGAAAUGUUCAGUCAUAUUGUGAACAGUGCUGUUCUAACACUUAGCGCUGCAUGUGAAACAGUUUGUGGGAAUGAAGCGCUCAGCCAUGCUAAGCUUUGGGAUAUACUUUUCCUUAAACUUCCUCACAAAAUACCGUCUAGAUCUGGUUCCUGGUCAUAGGAGAGAGCUGUCCUGGUUCACUUACAGAGAUUAAGCCCUAUCCACACAUCCGUUGAGGAUGCACCCUCGAGUGCUACAAGCAAAAUGUCAAGCGAAGAGGAUUCAUGACUGCUCAUGGGCACCUGUGUCCUCGAUAAAAUAAAAAUGUGGUAAGCAUUCAGAGAAGGUUGCACGCAAUCCGGCACUUCAUCAGGCUGCCCCUGCUCGGCAAGUGACGGGUCGGCGUGAUGUGCGGGGAUGGCCUUCCACCCAGACGGUGGGACUCCACAGCAUUAGGAUCAAGUUCUCUGGUUCCUCCUGAGCAGCCUGGCUCAGGUCCAAACUGCCUGCUCAUCCAAGCUGCGGGAUACACAGGCGCCAUGAAGUAACAGUAGCAGGUGAGAACCAUGCCAGCACGGUUAACUAACCCCAUACUGACAUCCAGAAUAAAAACACUGCCUCAGUCAUCAUUCCUGCAUGACACAAUCACCACACGCACACACAUACAUACAUGGUUGGUUUCUGAUAUAAAGUGCCUUAACAAUCACUAAUCCACCCUGUAUUUCCAUUUAUUUAGCCUAUUUAUUUAGGGGAAUGCAUCUUCUUUCCCACUGCCUGCCAGUGGAGCAUUGUGAGAAUUGUACAGCCAUAAUAAACUGUGCUUGGAGUAGUAACCUAUUUGCUGUCACAUCCAGAGAGAUGUUGAAUAAAGGACCAACAACAGAACAACUUCAUGAUGGGGAAAAAAAAUAACACUUUGCCCAAAAAACCCCACUGGGCCUGAAAGACAAGGAGCAGAAGAAUGAAGUGUGAAAUCCCUGUAAUUCCACCCGUGACUCUGAUGGUCCCUGACAUGACAUGAUGGACAGGGCGUUUCUUCCUGAUGAGAGAGGUGCAGAAAAGUGACCGCAGCCAAUUCUGCUGCCACGGCUGCCAUACAAGCCUGACAUCCUGCCUUGUGAUUUCAAUUCACUGGGUCUGAAUGAGUGAGUGACGGAAGAGGUAGAGUGCCCUGCAAACGCAUUAUGUGAUGUUACAGGUUUAUACGGAGAGAAGGGACUGGGUGAGUCUUUCUAAGCACAGUUAUUUUCUGUCACAGAUGUUGUUAAAACUUUGUUUAACACUCCCCGAAAGAAAGUCAUAUCUCCAACCAUAACAAAGUAAUCAAACAAGAUAGCCUGAUCACAAUUUAAUGUCACAGCUUCCCAGCCAAUACUUCACAGCCCCAGUAAUCACUACUGAUCCUAGUCGUCUCUCCUUUGGCUGUGCAUUUGAAAUUACGGAAAAAGCAAUGCCCCCAAGUCUUGGUUUGUAUGCAAAAAAUACUCAUCUGUUGUUUAUAUAUCCAGUUACUGCAAAAAGCUUAUGUUUUAGUGAAGGAAUCUUGACUUUUAACCUGGAUACACUUUGAGCUGUGCUCAUUUGGACUACAUCAAAAUGUAAUCCCAUUUUUGUCUAAAUGAAAUAAAUAUGCCUUUAUGAAAUAAUCAUAUGAUGAAUGCAGCAAUAUAUGUAAAUGAGUCAAUAAAUUGUUAAAUAAUUCAUUAACUAACAUUCGUCUUAUUAAAUAUUUAUUCCGACUCUUAUUCUCUACAUUGUUAAAUUGAAUUCCAUUGUUAUUUCAUAAUAAGUUUUAUUUUGGUGAUUGGCUACUACUUGGCGAUUGUUUACUUCGCCUGGAUCUGGCAACACUUUUCUAGUGCGAGACUACGCUAGAAUUAUGCUAGAAUUCAGGCAGCACACUGAACCAACAAUAACACAGAAGACUUCAGCAAGCAAUUCAGCAACUGCAGCAGAUGUUUGAAACUUUUUUUUAAAUUUCCCUAACAGUGCUUAGUGGUAUGUUUAGGCUAACAAUUUAUGAAUUUUUUUCACCCAGUUUUUUUCGGUCAACAGUUGUGAUUUUAUUGUGAUUUUACAGUUCUUUGGCUUUCCCCAUGGUGAUGGAUAACAAAGGGAUUUUAUAUGUAUGUUGCCUCAUUUUUAUAUCCAAUGGAAACAGGAAGUUAUGGAAGGCUACAGUACAGUUUAUUAAGACUGAGGUAAACUUAAAUCCCAGAUGACCAGAUAUUAAAAACAUAACAUGCAAUGUUAUUGUCUAUCGCCAAGCAUCAGUAGCCUAAACAGCAUCCAGUACUGUCAGGCUUAGAUUUGAGAACACUCCACUGGUCUUACAUACACCUAGGCUAAAGACAUUCAAACUCAAUUUUUCACAACUCCACACAUUUCAUGUUACCAUACAUUUCCAGUGUUAAGUCAAGUAGGGUAUCUACUAUAUUUCCAUAAGAGGUCAUUUCAAAAUAAUAACUAAGAGACAGAUUUAUUUCAGCUUUUAGGUUCUAUAUCAGAUUUUCAGUGGGUCAAAAGUUUCCAUACACUAAGCUGACCUUCUCUUUUAACAGUCAGGACGAUUCCAGAAAUUGAUGUAAUUACUUUUUAGAAGCUUCUGAUUGGCCAACUCUCAUAAUUAGAAGCUAAUUGGCAGUAUUUGGUGUCAUUGCCUUUUAAUUGCUUAACUUGAAUCAAACGCUUGGGGUAGCCCUCCACAAGCUUCU